rnacentral:rRNA from 1 species
UUAAACGGUAGGGUAUUGGCCUACCGUGGCAAUGACGGGUAACGGGGAAUUAGGGUUCGAUUCCGGAGAGGGAGCCUGAGAAACGGCUACCACAUCUAAGGAAGGCAGCAGGCGCGCAAAUUACCCAAUCCUAAUACAGGGAGGUAGUGACAAGAAAUAACAAUACAGGACUUUUUGGUUUUGUAAUUGGAAUGAGUA